UACGUAGGGUGCGAGCGUUGUCCGGAUUUAUUGGGCGUAAAGAGCUCGUAGGCGGUUUGUCGCGUCUGCUGUGAAAACCCGAGGCUCAACCUCGGGCCUGCAGUGGGUACGGGCAGACUAGAGUGCGGUAGGGGAGAUUGGAAUUCCUGGUGUAGCGGUGGAAUGCGCAGAUAUCAGGAGGAACACCGAUGGCGAAGGCAGAUCUCUGGGCCGUAACUGACGCUGAGGAGCGAAAGCAUGGGGAGCGAACAGG
rnacentral:rRNA from 1 species